CCCUGCGUAGCUCAAUGGUAGAGCACUCGGCUGUAGCCCGGGGUGUUGGCGGUUCGAAUCCGCCCGCAGGGA
rnacentral:tRNA from 1 species